GGUCAUUGUCCUGUUGCAACACCCAUCUUCUGUUGAGCUACAGCUGGUAGACAGAUGGCCUUAGGUUCUUCUGCAAAAUGUCUUGACAAACUUGGAAAUUCAGUUUUCCUUCGAUGAAAGCAAUGCGUCCAGGCCCUGACGCAGCAAAGCAGCCCCAAACCAUGAUGCCCCCACCACCAUACUUCACAGUUGGGAUGAGGUUUUGAUGUUGGUGUGCUGUGCCUUUUUUUCGCCACACAGUGUUGUGUGUUUCUUCCAAACAACUCAACUUUGGUUUCAUCUGUCCACAAAAUAUUUUACCAGUACUGCUGUGGAACAUCCAGGUGCUCUUGUGCAAACUGUAAAC